GCCGCAUCUGUGGCAUAUGGAAGUUCCCAGGCUAAGGUUCAAAUAUGAACUGCAGCUGAGACCUCUGCCACAGCCACAGCAACACCAUAUCCAAGUCGCAUGUGUGACCUAUGCCACAGCUUGUGACAACACCAGAUCCUUAACCCACUGAUCGAGGCCAGGGAUUGAACCCUCAUCCUCACGGACACUAUAUUGGGAUCUUAAUCCAUUGAGUCACAAUAGGAACUCUGACCCCAUGGGAUUUUCUUGUUGUUGUUGUUUUUCAAAGACAAUUGCUUCUUCCUGGAUUGGUAUUGUGUGAGAGGGGUUCAGGGCUAAAAUGAAUAGAUCUCUAACCAAAGAUCUUAAUAGGGAUAAAAAUUACUUUUGACAAAUCCCACUCUAAAUCAUUGUAGUGGGCAACUCUGAGCACCAAAAACGAACAAGAGUUACAAUGUCUGAGGGCUUUGUCUCCUUUGUCAACAAGAAUAUGUGGUUUAGAGGUACAAGCCACCAACCAGUGACCCCCUGGAAGGCCACCACCAAGAGAGCUGCUUCCUGACUCCAGUUCUGGGUGACCCUGUCUGUGGCUUGCUGAGGAGUCUACUGAUGUUCUACCCUAACUCCCACCCUUGCUGCUGUUACUCCCCUGAGUAACAGAACCCUGAGUUUAUUUCAGGCAACAGUGUACCCAACUAAACAGGUCCCAGCCUUCCUUGCAGCUAAGUGUGGCCAUGUGGUUAGAGUCUGCCCAAUGAGGUAUAAGCUGAGAAGUUGUCAGUGGAUUCCAGAAAGUCUCAUUAAAAGGGAGGGGACCCUUUUACCUCUUUUCACUGCUCCUUCCUGUUGCCUGGAAUGAGGUGAUGGUUGCUGAGCUCAAGCAGCCAUCUUGGACUUAGAUGAUGCGAGGAGGAAAGCUUCCUGGUGGCAGAGUUCCCACUGGGGCUCAGCAGGUUCAAAACCCAAUGUAGUCUCUGUAAGGAUGCGGCUUCGAUGCCUGGCCUCACUCAGUGGGUUAAGGAUCUAGUGUUGCCACAAGCUGUAGCAUAGCUUGCAGAUGUGGCUUGAAUCUGAUAUUGCUGUGGCUGUAGCGCAGGCUGGCAGCUGCAGCUCUGAUUUGACCCCUAGCCCAGGAACUUCCAUAUGCUGCAGGUGCAGCUGUAAAAAGAAAAAAAAAAAAACAACCCAAAAAAACAAAAAACUUCUUGCUACUCUUUAAGGGUCUUUGUCAUCGUCAGCAGAUGCAGUUUCUAACUGAUAUGUGGAAGCUCACUGGGCCUCAUUUUGUGGAAGGGCAAAGGUGUCCACAGUUCCUCUAAGCCAACUGCUACUUCUGCUCUCUCUGGAAGAAUCAUCCUGCCCAAGAGGGCCCAAUUCUUUCACAACUUUC
rnacentral:lncRNA from 1 species